GAUGAACGCUGGCGGCGUGCCUAAUACAUGCAAGUCGAGCGAACAGACGAGGAGCUUGCUCCUCUGACGUUAGCGGCGGACGGGUGAGUAACACGUGGAUAACCUACCUAUAAGACUGGGAUAACUUCGGGAAACCGGAGCUAAUACCGGAUAAUAUAUUGAACCGCAUGGUUCAAUAGUGAAGGACGGUUUUGCUGCCACUUAUAGAUGGAUCCGCGCCGCAUUAGCUAGUUGGUAAGGUAACGGCUUACCAAGGCGACGAUGCGUAGCCGACCUGAGAGGGUGAUCGGCCACACUGGAACUGAGACACGGUCCAGACUCCUACGGGAGGCAGCAGUAGGGAAUCUUCCGCAAUGGGCGAAAGCCUGACGGAGCAACGCCGCGUGAGUGAUGAAGGUCUUCGGAUCGUAAAACUCUGUUAUUAGGGAAGAACAAAUGUGUAAGUAACUAUGCACGUCUUGACGGUACCUAAUCAGAAAGCCACGGCUAACUACGUG
rnacentral:rRNA from 1 species